GUGGGGAAUCUUGCGCAAUGGGCGAAAGCCUGACGCAGCCAUGCCGCGUGAAUGAUGAAGGUCUUAGGAUUGUAAAAUUCUUUCACCGGGGACGAUAAUGACGGUACCCGGAGAAGAAGCUCCGGCUAACUUCGUGCCAGCAGCCGCGGUAAUACGAAGGGGGCUAGCGUUGCUCGGAAUUACUGGGCGUAAAGGGCGCGUAGGCGGACAGCUUAGUCAGAGGUGAAAGCCCAGGGCUCAACCUUGGAAUUGCCUUUGAUACUGGCUGUCUUGAGUUUGGGAGAGGUGAGUGGAACUCCGAGUGUAGAGGUGAAAUUCGUAGAUAUUCGGAAGAACACCAGUGGCGAAGGCGACUCACUGGCCCAAUACUGACGCUGAGGCGCGAAAGCGUGGGGAGCAAACAGGAUUAGAUACCCCUGUAGUCC
rnacentral:rRNA from 1 species